rnacentral:rRNA from 1 species
UACAGGGGGGGCAAGCGUUGUUCGGAAUUACUGGGCGUAAAGGGCCAGUAGGCGGCCAACUAAGUCCGACGUGAAAUCCCCAGGCUUAACCUGGGAACUGCGUCGGAUACUGGAUGGCUUGAAUUCGGGAGAGGGAUGCAGAAUUCCAGGUGUAGCGGUGAAAUGCGUAGAUAUCUGGAGGAAUACCGGUGGCGAAGGCGGCAUCCUGGACCGACAUUGACGCUGAGGUGCGAAAGCGUGGGGAGCAAACAGG